UCCAAUCGCCGUUGCUGCUGAAUGCUAAGCCCAGUGGUUCUACAUUGGUUUAAUGCUCUCCUGCCCCUGAAUUCGGGGGGGCCCUGAGCUCUGGCGGGAAUUGAAACCUUAGGCAGCCAAGGACAGCUGGGGACUCUGCUCUCUCCAAGCCUUGGGUUUUCCCAAGGCAGCUAGCUUAACCCAAGGAACCCUUGUCAAACGUCCAAGAGCUACGCUCAGGCCCCUGGGAAAGGACCCGCUGGGGACAAAGACCCCCCAAAGGGAGCAGGAGACCAAAAAUCAGCGCCAUCCCUAAGCAUCUCUGUCUCCCUACCUACUGCACCUCCCUGCCCCAGAGCAUGGACACAGCUCGCAACUGUCUCUCCAUUUUCAGAUGACCGCAUGUGUAUCCCACACCCCUAAUAAUAAUAGGAUUGUGGACUUAAAAUGGGGAAGUAAUCUGGAGGUCCAGUCCGAUGCCUUCACACCCAUUUUGCCAAAGAGGGACAUGAAACACAGAGAGCGCAAGUGAUUUGCCGGAGCCACCCAACGAGUAAGAGCCAGAUGCAGAAUGGGAGGCUAGGUCCUUCUGCCUGCAGAUUCAGCGGCCCAUCCUCAACCCCAGGCUGCCCGUGCUGCUAGCCAGCCCCUACACAUUUCUACAAGCACCUCCACAUAGAGGCUCCCAUUUCAUCCUCACUACGACUCUGCCACAUAGACAGAGCAGGUAGUAUUCACCCAUUUUACAGAAGAAGAAACUAAGAGCUAAGGAAAGGAUGUUCAGGAUAUAGAGACCUCUCCCUCCGACCAAAAGCUACCCAAGCUCACUUCUAAAAGGAGAGAAAAUAGGAAAAGCCAAGUCAUUUCUUCCCUGCUUCCGACAGCUCUCUGCUCCCACAGCUACAAUGCUAUUGACAUAUAACCCUACCAAGAGCCAGGGAGCUGCCGCUGGUUCAUGGGAUUCAAGGCUGGAAGAACCUUAGAGACGAUCUAGGCUAAACUGGAGUCAGAAAAGGAAACUGAGGCUCACAGACGUUAAGUGACUUAUCUCAGGUCACACAGCUGGUGAUGGAUGUGGAUGACAGGUGUGCUGCUGUGGUCCCGCAGAGCCUCUCAGUGACCGGAGGCUCUUUCCAAAAUCUUUUCUAUCCUCUCAGGAUGGAGAUUUGUAACCACUGAGGAGACUCGCUCUGAAGGCCAUCACCAGAGGGGAGAUUCUGAAGGCCUUCCCUAGAGCAGAAUUCUGCAGAAUCUAGCAUCCAUGAAAUAAAUGUACAGCUUCCUGAUGUGACCAUUUUGAAGACCCUGCCCUCAUGGGUGACUGGUUACAAGAUCAGCCUUAUUUCUUAUGUUGGGAUGUAAUAAAAGCUCUAGGGAAGUGUGUUCUCUCA